CGUAAACAAACGUAAACGCGUAUCGUUCAAACUCCGUGAACGACACGGAGAUGGAAACACGGUCGGUGGAGCCGCGCAGACGAUUACGCGGAAAGUUUCACGUGAUGGGACUUUUCCGGAAUCACCUACCGGCUUCCGGGAAGAUUUUCCGCCCGUCCGGCUGUGCGGACUCAAGGAGAGAAAGGUAACGCCACGGUGCCGAGCCAAAUUGUGUAUUAAAUUGCUUAAAAUACAUCAUGUUACGCCAAGUUUCGAAGAGACUCGGGAAGGACUGCGGCGACUACGUUUCGCCUCUUCGGUCCGGAGAGACACGCUGCCGGGGCGGACUUUCUUCACUGCUUUCCGCCGUGCCUGCUUCUGUUUUCGGGGAUUAGCCGGCUAGCUUGCUGCUAGCAUUCCGUGCUAACGCGACGUGGGUGUUCUUUCUUCGCUUUAGCACGUCCUGCUAGCGAGCUAACACGCUCACGGUGGACGCCGCGAGAGUCCCCCGUUCCUGCCCGAGGAAAAAGCAUUCCUCUGUGUAACCACACUUAGGACCUUUAAAAAGAUUCAUUAAUAUCUGCACACCGGUCCACGUCCGCCUCCCCAUGCAGAACUCCGUGAAAUGAAUAAAGCACCACAGCCUCUAACAGG
ensembl:lncRNA